ensembl:lncRNA
AUUCUUGACUGACAAAGGCAGAAGGUCAAGACCACAGUUGCUGGGUUACCUCUUAAGAUUCUUUGCAGUGUUGGGGGUCCGUGACCAUCAUAAUUGUUCCGGUCAUAUUUUUACCUAUUAGCAUUAUCUGAGGGUCAAGCCAUCAGUUGUAUUUGAAAAAGGGAUUCUAGCAAAUGCUUAACUAAUGUGUAAAGGUUAACAAUCUGAGUUUGAUUCUUGUUUCUGCCAUUUGCUAGCUGUAUGAUCCUGGAUUUGGUGGCCACUCUAUAUGUGCUGCUGCUGCUGCUGCUAAGUCGCCUCAGUCGUGUCCGACUCUGUGCGACCCCAGAGACAGCAGCCCACUAGGCUCCUCUGUUCCUGGGAUUCUCCAGGCAAGAACACUGGAGUGGGUUGCCAUUUCCUUCUCCAAUGCAUGAAAGUGAAAAGUGAAUGUGAAGUCGCUCAGUCGUGUCCAACUCUUAGCGACCCCAUGGACUGCGGCCUACCAGGUUCCUCUGCUAGAUGUUUUUAAAUACGUUAUCUUCUUAAAUCUUUCCUGUUGUCCUGUAAGGUUUGCCUUGAAAAUGAAAGUCACUCGGUCAUGUGCGACUCUUUGUGACCCCAUGGACUUAGUCCAUGGAAUUCACCAGGCCAGAAUGCUGGAGUGAGUAAGCCUUUCCCCUUCUCCGGGGGACCUUCUCAACCCAGGGAUCGAAUCCAGGUCUCCCACAUUGCAGGCGGAUUCUUUACCAGCUGAUCCACAAAGGAAACCCACGAAUACUGGAGUGGGUAGCCUAUCCCUUGGCCAGGGGAUCUUCCCUACCCAGGAAUCGAACUGGGGUCUCCUGCGUUGCAGGCGGAUUCUUUACCAACUGAGCUAUGAGGGAAGCCCUAGGUUUGCUUUAGAAGCUCCAUUUCACUAAAAAGAAAACAAAGAAUCAGAGAGGUUAAGUUACCUCUCCGAGGUCACACAGCUUGUAAGGGCCAGGGUCAAGAUUCCAGUCUCCUCGGCUCAGGUAUUUCUACUCCAUCUCAGGCCGUCACCUCCGGAGUGUCUUUCUCAGUCCCCAGAGGCACCCUGUGACCCACUGAGAGUGGAAAAUUUCAGCCCUGUUCCAGAGGGCAGGCUCCUCCCUGGCCCCGACGCUGCCGCCUACCCGGCUGAUUUAUAG